CCUACGGGUGGCAGCAGUAGGGAAUCUUUCACAAUGGGCGAAAGCCUGAUGGAGCAACGCCGCGUGCAGGAUGAAGGCCUUCGGGUUGUAAACUGCUUUUAUAAGCGAGAAAUAUGAUGGUAACUUAUGAAUAAGGAUCGGCUAACUACGUGCCAGCAGCCGCGGUCAUACGUAGGAUCCGAGCAUUAUCCGGAGUGACUGGGUGUAAAGGGAGCGUAGACGGCAGUGCAAGUCUGGAGUGAAAGGCGGGGGCUCAACCCCCGGACUGCUCUGGAAACUGUACGGCUGGAGUGCAGGAGAGGUAAGUGGAAUUCCUAGUGUAGCGGUGAAAUGCGUAGAUAUUAGGAGGAACACCAGUGGCGAAGGCGGCUUACUGGACUGUAACUGACGUUGAGGCUCGAAAGCGUGGGGAGCAAACAGGAUUAGAUACCCUAGUAGUC
rnacentral:rRNA from 1 species